CAUGCAAGUCGGACGCGAAAGCCCCGCAAGGGGCCGGUAGAGUGGCGCACGGGUGAGUAACACGUGGAUAACCUGCCUGGCAGAGGGGACUAACCUCCCGAAAGGGGGGCUAAUGCCGCAUAAGACCUCUAGGCGUAAGUCGAGGGGUUGAAAGGGGAGACCCGCUGGCAGAGGGGUCCGCGCCUGAUUAGCUGGUUGGUGAGGCAACGGCUCACCAAGGCUGCGAUCAGUAGCCGUCCUGAGAGGGAGCACGGCCACACUGGAACUGAGACACGGUCCAGACUCCUACGGGAGGCAGCAGUGGGGAAUUUUUGGCAAUGGGGGCAACCCUGACCAAGCAACGCCGCGUGGGUGAGGAAGUACCUUGGUACGUAAAGCCCUUUCGGCAGGGACGAAGCAAGUGACGGUACCUGCAGAAGAAGCCCCGGCUAACUCCGUGCCAGCAGCCGCGGUAAUACGGGGGGGGCGAGCGUUGUUCGGAAUCACUGGGCGUAAAGGGCGCGUAGGCGGCCCGCACAAGUCUGCGGUGAAAACCCCCGGCUUAACCGGGGGCCGGCCGUGGAAACUGUCGGGCUGGAGGACGGGAGAGGGCGGCGGAAUUCCCGGUGUAGCGGUGAAAUGCGUAGAGAUCGGGAGGGACACCGGCGGCGAAGGCGGCCGCCUGGACCGGCCCUGACGCUGAGGCGCGAAAGCUAGGGGAGCAAACAGGAUUAGAUACCCUGGUAGUCCUAGCCCUAAACGAUGGAUACUGGCU
rnacentral:rRNA from 1 species